rnacentral:rRNA from 1 species
AUUGAACGCUGGCGGCAUGCUUUACACAUGCAAGUCGAACGGCAGCGCGGGCUUCGGCCUGGCGGCGAGUGGCGAACGGGUGAGUAAUGCAUCGGAACGUGCCCAGUAGUGGGGGAUAGCCCGGCGAAAGCCGGAUUAAUACCGCAUACGACCUGAGGGUGAAAGCUGGGGACCGAAAGGCCUCGCGCUCUUGGAGCGGCCGAUGUCGGAUUAGCUAGUUGGUGGGGUAAGGGUUUACCUAGGCGACGAUCCGUAGCUGGUCUGAGAGGACGAACAGCCACACGGGGACUGAGACACGGACAAGACUCCUACGAGAGGCAGCAGUGGGGAAUGUUGGACAAUGGGGGCGAACAUGAUACAGCCAUGCCGCGUGCGGGAAGAAGGCCUUCGGGUUGUAAACCGCUUUUGUUCGGGAAGAAAUGCUCUGGGCUAAUACCCAGGGGGGAUGACGGUACCGGAAGAAUAAGCACCGGCUAACUACGUG